GGGUUCUGGUCUAAAGGGAGUCUCCCAGUUGGGGUUCUGGUCUAAAGGGAGCCUCCCAGUUGGGGUUCUGGUCUAAAGGGAGCCUCCCAGUUGGGGUUCUGGUCUAAAGGGAGCCUCCCAGUUGGGGUUCUGGUCUAAAGGGAGCCUCCCAGUUGGGGUUCUGGUCUAAAGGGAGCCUCCCAGGGGUUCUGGUCUAAAGGGAGCCUCCCAGUUGGGGUUCUGGUCUAAAGGGAGCCUCCCAGUUGGGGUUCUGGUCUAAAGGGAGCCUCCCAGUUGGGGUUCUGGUCUAAAGGGAGCCUCCCAGGGGGGGUUCCCAGUUGGUUUCCAGGUUAAAGCCAUCGGCUCGUUGGCUUCCUCACAAGCCGACGGCUGGUAGAACAAUUUGCACUUGGGGUGGGGGAGUAGUAAUAAUAAUAAUGAACCUAAAGUUAUUUUUAUAGAAGCCAAGUUGAGCUUGAUCACGGAACCAAAGAGGCCGAGCGGUUGAGCCGGAGCAGAGGCCUAAACACUGUAUCAGUCGUGUAGAGCGAAGCGUCCUGGACCGCUGUAACAUCUGGAAACGCUUUAUGAAAUAUUCUGUUCUUUGUAAUUGUUGAAAAAUAAAUUUCUUAUUACCGAA